rnacentral:rRNA from 1 species
CUACGGGGGGCUGCAGUGGGGAAUAUUGCACAAUGGGCGCAAGCCUGAUGCAGCCAUGCCGCGUGUAUGAAGAAGGCCUUCGGGUUGUAAAGUACUUUCAGCGGGGAGGAAGGGAGUAAAGUUAAUACCUUUGCUCAUUGACGUUACCCGCAGAAGAAGCACCGGCUAACUCCGUGCCAGCAGCCGCGGUAAUACGGAGGGUGCAAGCGUUAAUCGGAAUUACUGGGCGCAAAGCGCACGCAGGCGGUUUGUUAAGUCAGAUGUGAAAUCCCCGGGCUCAACCUGGGAACUGCAUCUGAUACUGCAAGCUUGAGUCUCGUAGAGGGGGGUAGAAUUCCAGGUGUAGCGGUGAAAUGCGUAGAGAUCUGGAGGAAUACCGGUGGCGAAGGCGGCCCCCUGGACGAAGACUGACGCUCAGGUGCGAAAGCGUGGGGAGCAAACAGGAUUAGAUACCCGGGUAGUC